rnacentral:rRNA from 1 species
CAGUAGCCGCGGGAAUACGUAGGUGGCAAGCGUUGUCCGGAUUUAUUGGGCGUAAAGCGAGCGCAGGCGGUUUCUUAAGUCUGAUGUGAAAGCCCCCGGCUCAACCGGGGAGGGUCAUUGGAAACUGGGAGACUUGAGUGCAGAAGAGGAGAGUGGAAUUCCAUGUGUAGCGGUGAAAUGCGUAGAUAUAUGGAGGAACACCAGUGGCGAAGGCGGCUCUCUGGUCUGUAACUGACGCUGAGGCUCGAAAGCGUGGGGAGCGAACAGGAUUAGAUACCCCGGUAGUUCCUGUCUCUUAUAC